rnacentral:rRNA from 1 species
CAGCGCCACGAGUGGGGAUCAUAAUUAUUGGGCCUAAAGCGUCCGUAGCUGGUUAGAUAAAUCUCUUGUGAAAUCGUGGAGCUUAACUUCACGGCGUGCAGGAGACACUAUUUGACUUGGAACCGGGAGGAGUAAGAGGUAUUCUGGGGGGAGCGGUAAAAUGCUAUAAUCCCUGGAGGACCACCGAUAGCGAAGGCAUCUUACUAGAACGGAUUCGACAGUGAGGGACGAAAGCCAGGGGAGCGAACCGGAUUAGAUACCCGAGUAGUCC